rnacentral:rRNA from 1 species
AAUGAACGUUGGCGGCGUGGAUUAGGCAUGCAAGUCGUACGGGUCGGUGUAGCAAUACAACGGCAAGUGGCGAAAGGGAGAGUAACACGUAGAUACCUACCCUCUGGUCGGGGAUACCGCGGCAUAACCGCAAGUAAUACCCGAUAAAAUCUCCGGAUCAAAGGUGUGAUUCCGCCGGAGGAGGGGUCUGCGUUCUAUCAGCUUGUUGGUGAGGUAAUGGCUCACCAAGGCUAAGACGGAUACGGGGUGUGAGAGCAUGCCCCCGCUCACUGGGACGGAGACACUGCCCAGACACCGACGGGUGGCUGCAGUCGAGAAUCUUCGGCAAUGGGCGCAAGCCUGACCGAGCGGCGCCGCGUGGGGGAUGAAGGCCUUCGGGUUGUAAACCGCUGUCGGGGGGAAUGAAGUGUAGGUGGGUACUCCCAUCUAUUUGGCAGAUCCCUGGAGGAAGCAUGGGCUAAGUUCGUGCCAGCCGCCGCCGUAACAC